GGAAUGACGGUUCACUUGUCUCUGUACUCAAGACGCUAUUGUUUUUCACUCUUCUGAUGAUAACUUUACCAAUCGGACUGUAUUUUGCUUCGAAGGUCUUUUCUCUUUGAAGCCUCUCUGGGAUACUCUAGCAAUGACAGCUACUUCUAUGCCGCCAUCGUUGCUGUGCUUGCCGUCCAUGUGGUUCUGGCUCUCUUCGUUUACGUUGCAUGGAAUGAAGGAUCACACCAAUGCAGAGAGGGAAAACAGGAUUAAGCGAGAUGAUAAAAACUAAAGGGAGAGAUGGAAACACACAUAACACUAUCUUAUUCAUUCCUGAAGUGGAGAAUCAUAAUGGAGUGACUCCAUCUCUCUUUGUGUGUGUUUAAUUUUCUCCUGAACGUCUCAGCCUAUCAGAGAGAAGAUGCCUGAUUUCUCAUGGAAUGGUGGAGGUCAUCUUUGGUCUGGCUGGAGGUUGUGUCAGAAGGUGUUAGAUGUUAAUCUGUGUUGUUUUUGUGCAGGGUUAAUUCAGGACGGCAGAGAAGACGCACUCUUCUCAUGAAAGUUCAUUGUUCCUGCAGUGUCAUAUUCGGACCUAUUUCAGUGGGGUCAGAGUUUUAUGUUGACAUUAUGUGUUUUAGAUCAAUGUAGCAAACAAAUCAACACUUCAUCCGCCCAUUGUUUGUGCCCCUUUUCAGGAUCAUAUAAAUAAAAUGAAUUAUCAGAA